rnacentral:misc_RNA from 1 species
UCGAGUUAGGGUCUGCUAGGCCCGAUCUCCAACCCUUUGUAUAACUACCAUGUUGCUUUGGCGAGCCCGUCUUUAACCGGACCGCCGGAGGUGUUAUAGCCUUUGGCCCGUGCUCGUCAGUAGCCCACAAUUAAAAUCUUUUAACCAUGUUAAAUCUGAAAAUAGUUAAAUAAACUA